UUCAGCCUCCCAAGUAGGUAGAAUUAUAGGCUUGAGCCACUGGUGUCUGGUGAGAUGAUGAUGGCUUUUGAAUAAAGACCUGAAGAGAGUCAAGAACCUAUUGUGAAGAUGUAUGGAAUAGGGGUGUUCCAUAUAUCCUGCAGGGAGAACCGGUGGAAAGCCUCCCUACUUUUGGAAUAGCAAGGUCUUUUUUGCUGGGCGAAUUGAGUGAGGGGGAAAUUUGUAGUAGGAAAAGUAAGAGGUAUACAGAGUGCCAUACUGAUGAUCACUGCUUUCCUUAUAGGUGGAAUAGACCUUGGCAUUUAUUUGAAUGAGAAGUCAUUGGAGGGUUAGAACAGAGCAGUGGUAGUGUCUGCUGUAAUCCCAGCUUUUAAUGAAUGUUGGCUGACAAUGGAGUGAAGGAGAACAGAGGUGAAGGAACCCAGGCUGAAGCAGGAAACCAGCUGGAGCUGUUGCAGCGAUCCAUCCAGUGAGAGGAUCAGGUUGUCAGUUUCUACGAAGAAGCCAGCUGAGAUUCUAACUGGGAUUGCAUUGAAUCUGUAGAUCAGUCUGAGGAGCGACAGCGUUUUAAGUCUUCCAGUCCACCAGCAUUGGAAGCUUUUUACGUAAAUGGUCAGAUGGUAAAUGCUUCUGGCUUUGUGGGCAUAAUGUCUCUGUUGUAGCCACUCAGCUCUGCCAUUGCAGCAUGAAAGCCACCAUAGACAACAUAUAAGUGAAAAGAAGGAACUCUCAGCCACCAAGAAAGAUCGCGUGAAUCAUUGUCUGACAAUAUGUGAAAACAUAGUGGCACAGUCUCUCAGGU